rnacentral:rRNA from 1 species
GACGAACGCUGGCGGCGUGCCUAAUACAUGCAAGUCGAACGAGAGCGCCCGGUUCUUGCACUGGUCAAUCUAGUGGCGAACGGGUGAGUAACACGUGGGUAACCUGCUCAUCAGAGGGGGAUAACAUCCGGAAACGGAUGCUAAAACCGCAUAGGUCUUCGAGCCGCAUGGCUUGAAGAGGAAAAGAGGCGCAAGCUUCUGCUGAUGGAUGGACCCGCGGUGCAUUAGCUAGUUGGUGAGGUAACGGCUCACCAAGGCCGUGAUGCAUAGCCGACCUGAGAGGGUGAUCGGCCACAUUGGGACUGAGACACGGCCCAAACUCCUACGGGAGGCAGCAGUAGGGAAUCUUCCGCAAUGGACGCAAGUCUGACGGAGCAACGCCGCGUGAGUGAAGAAGGUUUUCGGAUCGUAAAACUCUGUUGUUAGAGAAGAACAAGUGCUAGAGUAACUGUUAGCGCCUUGACGGUAGCUAACCAGAAAGCCACGGCUAACUACGUG